rnacentral:rRNA from 1 species
ACACUCCUGCGGGAGGCAGCAGUGGGGAAUAUUGGACAAUGGGCGCAAGCCUGAUCCAGCCAUGCCGCGUGAGUGAUGAAGGCCCUAGGGUUGUAAAGCUCUUUCACCGGUGAAGAUAAUGACGGUAACCGGAGAAGAAGCCCCGGCUAACUUCGUGCCAGCAGCCGCGGUAAUACGAAGGGGGCUAGCGUUGUUCGGAUUUACUGGGCGUAAAGCGCACGUAGGCGGACUAUUAAGUCAGGGGUGAAAUCCCGGGGCUCAACCCCGGAACUGCCUUUGAUACUGGUAGUCUUGAGUUCGAGAGAGGUGAGUGGAAUUCCGAGUGUAGGGGUGAAAUUCGUAGAUAUUCGGAGGAACACCAGUGGCGAAGGCGGCUCACUGGCUCGAUACUGACGCUGAGGUGCGAAAGCGUGGGGAGCAAACAGGAUUAGAAACCCGUGUAGUCC